rfam:Camelus ferus unplaced genomic scaffold scaffold672, whole genome shotgun sequence.
GAGGGUAUAGCUCGGUGGUAGAGGGCAUGCUUAGCAUGCAAGAGGUCCUGGGUUCAAUCUCUAGUACUUCCA